AGAGUUUGAUCAUGGCUCAGGAUGAACGCUAGCGGCAGUAAUACAUGCGUCGUGGGGCAGCAUGAGUGUAGCAAUACAUUUGAUGGCGACCGGUAAACGGGUGCGGAACACGUACGCAACCUUCCUUUAAGUGGGGAAUAGCCCGGGGAAACCCGGAUUAAUACCCCGUAAUAUUAUGAGGUGGCAUCAUCUUAUAAUUAUAGCUCCGGCGCUUAGAGAUGGGCGUGCGUCUGAUUAGGUAGUUGGCGGGGUAACGGCCCACCAAGCCUACGAUCAGUAACUGGUGUGAGAGCACGACCAGUCACACGGGCACUGAGACACGGGCCCGACUCCUACGGGAGGCAGCAGUAAGGAAUAUUGGUCAAUGGACGCAAGUCUGAACCAGCCAUGCCGCGUGGAGGAUGAAGGUCCUCUGGAUUGUAAACUUCUUUUAUCUGGGAAGAAACCCAUGGUUUCUACUAUGGUUGACGGUACCAGAUGAAUAAGCACCGGCUAACUCCGUGCCAGCAGCCGCGGUAAUACGGAGGGUGCAAGCGUUAUCCGGAUUCACUGGGUUUAAAGGGUGCGUAGGUGGGCAGGUAAGUCAGUGGUGAAAUCUCCGGGCUUAACCCGGAAACUGCCGUUGAUACUAUCUGUCUUGAAUAUCGUGGAGAUGAGCGGAAUAUGUCAUGUAGCGGUGAAAUGCUUAGAUAUGACAUAGAACACCGAUUGCGAAGGCAGCUCGUUACACGGUUAUUGACACUGAGGCACGAAAGCGUGGGGAUCAAACAGGAUUAGAUACCCUAGUAGUCC
rnacentral:rRNA from 1 species